rnacentral:misc_RNA from 1 species
UGGCUCUCGCAUCGAUGAAGAACGCAGCAAAGCGCGAAAUGUAAUGUGAAUUGCAGAAUUCAGUGAAUCAUCGAAUCUUUGAACGCACCUUGCGCUCUCGGGCUAUUCCUGAGAGCAUGCUUGUUUGAGUGUCGCGUACCUCUCAACCCCGCCUUUUCCUUUGCGGAAAGGGUCGUUCCAGGGUUGGAUCAUGGCGCCCGUGUCGUUUGAAUUGAACGACUGCGCUGAAUUACAGCAAGCCGAAUCCAAGGGCUAGGCGGCUUGACCCGUUGUCAUAAGCUCACACUUUCAAUGGGAACGCCAGCCGGAAUGGGCUUACCACAAAUGAAUUUUUAUACAUUGACCUCAAAUCAAGUAGGACUACCCGCUGA